AGAGCUAUACACGACUGAUAUUAUAACUAGCUUGAGAGAUUAAUGAGGGAUUUAUGCUAAACAUUUUCCCUACUAAUCCCCCAUGUUUUCAAAAACCAUCCUCACCCCUAAAGUGAAUGGGUUACCCAGAAAUUUUAAUCCACGCCACCCAUCUCCCCAUAGACAAAUUAUCUUCCCACCAAACCAUUUUUUCAAACACCAACGACCAUGAUCCUUUCUC
rnacentral:lncRNA from 1 species